UACGUAGGUGACGAGCGUUAUCCGGAUUUAUUGGGCGUAAAGCGCACGCAGGCGGCAGAGAAAGUCUGACGUGAAAUCUCCCGGCUUAACUGGGAGCGGUCGUUGGAAACUACUUGGCUUGAGGCGAUGAGAGGGGUGUGGAAUUCCCGGUGUAGUGGUGGAAUGCGUAGAGAUCGGGAGGAACACCAGUGGCGAAGGCGACUCUCUGGACCGGUCCUGGACGCUCAGGCGCGAAAAGCGUGGGGAGCGAUCGG
rnacentral:rRNA from 1 species